rnacentral:rRNA from 1 species
GACAGAGGCCUCAAGCGUUAGGCGGAAUCACUGGGCUUAAAGCGUGUGUAGGCGGGUCGUUAAGUACCUUGUGAAAUCCCACGGCUUAACCGUGGAACUGCUUGGUAUACUGCUUAUCUUGGGCCAUCUAGGGGCUACUGGAACAAACGGUGGAGCGGUGAAAUGCGUAGAUAUCGUUUGGAACGCCAAUGGUGAAAACAAGUAGCUGGGGAUGUGCCGACGCUGAGACACGAAAGCCAGGGGAGCAAACGGG